UAAAGUGCCUUAAAAUCCGUCUAGUAAUCGUGUUUGUUAAUAUUUUAGUGAAUGAACAUACGAUUUUUCAGUAUAAACUUAUGAAAGGACUGUUUUUCGAUUAGAUAACCAGCUCACAUCAUAACACAACUAAGUGACAAAUAAGGUGUUUAUUGUUCAGGUAUUUCAUUCAAUGAAACAAGUAGAAGAAGACGUCUCUAGCAACGAUAGGUUCCUGUAGUCGCUUUUAAACUGUUAAGGAGCAUCAUUUCCUAACCUAAAAGAUCAACACUUCUAUUUAGAGCAUUAUAUCCGACGACAAAAGUUUUGGAAAAAGACAUUCUGAGACUAAAUCUUGCAAUAUCGUUCUGAACAGUAACACGGCCAACCAAGCUCAAGUGGUGGUACCAGCCUCUUAAUCAAGAUCCAUUUAAAAUAUAAAGUUGAAGAUACACAAAAGAAUAAACACUCAAUCAGACUUAAUCAGCGGAUGUUGCACGCUGCCGAAUUGGAAAAUUGCUUUUACCUGUCAAAAAAUGUAACGUAAAAAUAUUUAACAAUGACGAAAUUGUGAGUUAGAAAUGUUGUGUAAUGUAUUUGAUAUAGUGAACAUUAGCGAGGACAAUACGUGUGAUGUUACAUCCGGUUGUUCAAUUCAGCCUUGCAUUACCAUUUUGGACCUGGAAACGAAACAAAUCAAGAAAACAAUUUCACUUGAUUCGUAUACUUCUGGAAUAUCACUUAAAGAAAAUAGAUUAAUCUAUUCUUGUAACAGUGGAAUACGAAUGGUCAAUCCGUAUGAUGAGUCUAGAAGUGACAUAGUCCGAGUAUUGAUGAUGCCCAGUGACUAUAACGUUGUAACAUUUGGGGACAAAGUAUAUCACUCAAAUGGGGGAAAAAGCACAGUUACAUGUUAUGAUCUACAAGGUAAACUGCGGUGGACAUUCAAGAACGAAAGCGUUCUGAAGACUCCGCGUGACAUUGAUGUCGAUCAUUAUGGCAUUGUGUAUGUGGUAGGGUACCGUUCUUACAACGUUGUAGUAAUCUCCCCUGAUAGUCGACGACAAAAGGAAGUAUUGACAGCAGGCGAUGGUCUUGAUGAACCAUCUCACUUCAUUAUUAUGGAUAAAAAAAUCAGUUGCUACUUGCGAACUGUCGAAACAUAGUCGCUUCGUUUGAUUUUCAUUGAUAACAUUUAUCUUUCAAUAGACAUUGUCAUUUCAUUUAAAGAAAUAGUUCAGCUCUACGUAUACUUGAUAAAUUGCAUGCACAUAUUGGUGAUUUUGAACCUGUGCAAAGUUUUGAUUUUUCAACCCUAUCUACCACUUUGCCUCAAAUAUCUCAUUAAGAAAAAAAUCACAUACCUAUUAAAAUGGACAUUUAAAGAGUCGGAGUGCGAAUAUGUAUUUUCAAACACUUUAAUGUCAUUUUUAGUAACACUAGACAAAAUAAUUAUGUCAAUUCGGCCUGCUUUGAUACGAUAACGUCACAUGGAUUUUCACUAGAUAACAGUUUUGUUCGCUAUUGAGAUUCCGUAUAUCUUCAAGUUAUCGGAAUUCCAAUGUGGACUAACUGUGCACCACUUAUUGCGGACCUUUUUCUGUAUUGUUACGAGUUACAACAAAGAUCCACCAAAACAACAUCUGAUAAAAAAAAUAUUUUUCUAACACUUUUAGAUAUUUGGAUGAUAAAUUGACUCUCAAUGAUGACGACUUCAGUAUGUACACUAAUGAGAUUUAUCCUGCUGUGACGUUUUUUUAUCUUCUUAUGGUGUUUAUAUAUCCCAACUUGUACGAAUCGCUCGUGUAUGUAACAAUGUAUUUGAUAUUAACGAAAGAAAUCUCUGUAUUACUGUAAAAUUAGUACACCAGGAUUUACGAUAUCUCAAACUUGUAAAAAACAUUUUCCAAAUUCAUCAUCGGUACAAGGACAGCAUUCGUAAAGAAAAAUCAGCGUGCAUACAUCUUACAUUGUAUACGAUCAGGUAUUUCACGUCCAACUUUAAUGGUAAUAUUCUAUCCAAAGCACAAAAAUUACUUCAUUCAUCUCAAAAGCUUACCAAUCCUUGAAACAAACUUAUUCAGAAGAUAUAUAGUUACAACACUGUUGUCAAGUCAUUGAUGGUGGCAUAUUUUGGAAUUAAUAUUGAUUCACACGUAGGCUCUUUGCGUCGGAAAUAUACACAUUUAUUCUAAAUCCAGUUAUUGACAUAUAUAUAUAUGUAUAUUUUUGAUGGUAUGAUACUAAACCCCUAACAAGAGGGAUUGUGCUUGAUAAUUAUAUGAUGAAGACAUAAUCUUUUAAUCAGUUUAAUUGAGGUUUGGAGCUGGCAUGUCAGUAACUGCUAGUAGUCCUUUGUUAAUUUAUCUUCAUCAUUGCAUUUUGCUAAGUUUUUUCUGUUAACUUAUAUAACAUCGGACUCAGAUCUCUUUUAAACUAAGUUUUAUUGUGCGUACUGCGGUUCUUUUUUCAUUAAAUUCCACAUUGGCUAGAGGUAUGGGGGUGGGUUGAGAUCUUACACAACAUGUUUAACCACGUCGCUCUUUUGCGCCAGUCCCAAGUCUGGAAGUUAUAGCCUUUGUUAAUGUUAUAUGUGGUUUUUUUUAAUUUUGGUUCAUUUAUGUUUCGUUUGAUGUUCGUUUUCAUCGAACUAGUAUACAUUUUUUUAAGGAACCAGCUGAAGCUCGCCUCCGGAUACGGGAUCUUCUUGCUGUGUUGAAGACCUAUUGAUGGCCUUCGGCUGUCUAUAGCUCUCUGGUCGAAUUGUUGUCACAUUCACCGUUUCUAUUCACAAAUUCAUAUACAAUCUUCUUACCUCUCAAAUAAAUUUUAGCCGUAUAUUCUAUAAAAUUUAAAGUUAUUGUAAAUGCAUUUAACGUGUUUAUUCCAAAAAACGGCCGAUAAAAUGUGAUAAUUUCAAAACAAAUGGCGUAAUGGAUUCAUAUUGAAAGAAAUAGACAUUGUUUAUCAUAUGCAUUAUAUAUGAUGGGUGGACACAGCGUAUUGUCUAGUCCCUUUUUUCUCCUCCCCGACUCCCGUUCUGUGUAAUGUUUUGUGUUCAAUUUUUCACCAUACAUACACCGUAUGUUCAUUAUUGGUUAUCUUGUGCCGCCUGGAAGAAUAUCAAAUAUAUGAAAUUAUUUGCUUUUGUAAAAAAUUUAAAAGUUGACAUCCGCAACAAAAUAUAGAUACAUUUAAUUUUAUCUACUUUCAAUAUGAUGCAGUUAUCAACACUGAAUGUUCAUGCUUGUCAUGGUUUAUAGCAAUUUUAUGGUUACUACGGUUUUUUAUUAAAAAAAACCUGCGUAUUUGCCUACCAUAUGGAAAACUAUAGUAGAUAGAAAUAAACCUUAUAAAGCAAAAAUUAUCAUCAGAACAAGAUCUACAAUCACAUCUAUUAUAAACAAUUUUUUUAGAUAACUUCUUAUAUGAUUUCUUGUACUACAAUUAUGAUUUUUACCCGUUUUGCAUUUUGGCAAAAACUGUUUAUAGUAAAUAAAGGAAACUGUAAACAACAAAAAUGAUCCGACAUAUAAAAUACGAAGGUAUGGUAUGAUUGUUAAUGCGAAGUGUAUCAACUAUUCGGCCUUGGACAAUAAACAAAACGUGUAAUGUGUAGCAAGCUAUUAACGCCCUUAAAACGACAAAGACAAGAUCUCAAUUUGAUAUGUUACUAAAAAUAACUUAAAUUGUCAAACAAUUCUCAGGUUAAAAUUGCAAAUCCCAAAAUAGGAAUUAUAUCAUUUGUUUCAAUCAUCGUUUUUUUUUAUGUCUGAAUGAACAUUAUAACAAAUAAACCGUAAAGUUCCCAAUCCAUGUUGAUUGUAUUGAUAGGCACAAGAUUAUGUAAAUCACUUUCACAAAUUGUACAAAUGAGAGAGCUUUGAUUCAAUGGGGCAGCAAAUUAUACAUAACACAAAGCUCGUUAAAUUAAUGAAUACUCAAGUCUUUUUUCUUUCUUUCAUUGUUUCUUUUUGACAAUGAUAAGAUUAUGUAUCGGUUGUAAAUUAAUCAAUGGGAAGGUAUACACUAUGAAAUUAAUGUUCGGGAUUGGAACCAUAGCACUAAAUUUCAUAUUUUUUACUUUUCUAUUGACUAACAAUUACUUACUAUGUGUCAAUUAACAGGUUUUUUUAUGCGUUGUGAUUCUAUUGUCCAGUUCUGUCAACGCAAAUCAAAGGGAAAUAAAAUACGUAUACCAAAUACUAUGCGGUACUUCAAGUGUAACUAAAAGAUAUCAUAAAAUAUUUAAUACUUUCAUUAAAAUAAAAUAAUAGUAAACAUUUGCUUGAAAUCCGUCUAGUAAUUGUAUGUAUCAACUGAUAGCGAAUACAGAUAUACUUGUCAUAGUUACUUUUGAUAGCAAAGUUAUUCAAUUAGAUGAAGAGUUCACAUUAGUUUACGAUUUACUAACAAUUAAGGUAGUUCUUUAAAUCAAACAAGUUAAUAGCAGAAGAAGUCUCUAGUAAAGAUAAAGUCAUGCAGUCACUUGAUAACAACGAGGAGCACCAUUUCCUAACGUAUAAGAUCAGUACUUCUAUUUAGAAUUGCCGACGUCAAUAGUUUUGGAGAAGUACAUACUGAGGCUAUUCCUUCCGAUUUUAUUCUGAUCAGUUAGAUGGCCAUGCAAGCUCAAGUUGUGGUACCAACUCAAUCAAGAUCAAUUGAAAAUAUAAAGUUGACGAUACACACGAGAAUAAACAUCCGAAUAGACUCAAUCUGCGGAUGUUGCAUGAUGACGGACGGUAAAAUUGCUAUAACCAGUGAUGAAUGUAAAGUAAGAGUUAUUGACAUUGACGGAUAUCAAUACUUUGAGAUGGAGAUGCAAAGCAAAGUAUUUGAUUUAGUGAACAUCGGCCAGGAUGAUAUAUAUGCUGUUACAACUGGUUGUGCAAGACCGCCUAGUAUUACCAUUUUGAACCUAAGAAGGGGACAAAUCAAGAAGACAAUUCUAAUGGAUUCGUUCACCUCUGGGAUAUCACUUAAAGAAAACCGAUUGAUCUAUUCUUGUUACUAUGGAAUACGAAUGAUCAAUCCGUAUGACGAGGAGUCAACGAGUGAAAUAGUUCGGGAUAACACGACACCCAGGGACUGUUACGUUGCAACAUUUAAGGACAAAGUGUAUCACUCAAAUUGGAAAAAAAACACAGUUACAUGUUAUAAUCUACAAGGUAAACCUCAAUGGACAUUCCAAAAUGAAAGCGUUCUGAUGACUCCUCGUGGUAUUGAUGUAGAUCAUGAUGGAAAUGUGUACGUAGUGGGGAACCGCUCGAACAAUGUGGUAGUUAUCUCCCCUGAUGGACAACGACAUAAAGAAGUGUUGACAGCAGGCAAUGGUCUUGAUGAACCCACCUCACUUCAUUAUAAUGGAUCAACAAAGCAGUUGCUAGUUGCGAACUACCGAAACAUAGUCGCCUUGUUUGACUUGUAAUGAGCACAUUAAUUUUCAACACUAGUAACCAUUAUGAAUUUAUAGAAAUAUUUUAGCAAAUAUAUAUUUUCUUUUUAAAUCUCACAAAUUUGAGUCGUAUAUAAAAUAUAUCAUUAAAAGCAAUGUAAAUGCAUUGAACGUGUUUAAUUCAAAAUACGGACGAUACAAUUUUAUAAUUUUAAACAUUUGUGUAAUGGAUUUCCAAGGAAUUCGUUUUUGUCACGGCUGAUUAGGCUGCCUAUAUUGUUUGACGUAAAUUUUCUAUUGAGCUACUGCAAUCAUCAAUUCACCAAUAUUCGAACAGACUGAAUUUUCGGGAAAUGACAUCUGUGACAAACAUAAACUUUUUACUACCUCUUUAACAGCAGAACCGAAUAGCGCCCAUACUACUUGUCCGAUUGGACAAGUGAAAAAUCGAUGUCAGAUGUAAAAUAUAUCAAAUUCAAGACUUACUAAUUCCCAAAAAAUUGAAUGAUUGUUUUAUUGAUCAUGCAAAAUGAAUUAAAUAUCCAUUGUCAUUUAUUGAU